GGAAAGGCUUACGGUGGAUACCUAGGCACCCAGAGACGAGGAAGGGCGUAGUAAUUGAUGAAAUGUUUCUGGGAGUUGAAAAUAAGCAUAGAUCCAGAGAUUCCCGAAUAGGGAAACCUUUUGAACUACUACUAAAUCCAAGGGCAGGCAAGAGACAACCUAGCAAACUAAAACAUCUUAAUAGCCAGAGGAAAAGAAAGUAAAAGCGAUUCUCGUAGUAGCGGCAAGGGAAAUGGGAGUAGCCUAAACCUUGAAAACAGGGUUGUGGGAUAGCAAUACAAGCAUUGUGCUGCUAGGCAAAGUAACCUGAAUGAUGCACCCUAGAUGGCGAAAGUCCAAUACCCGAAAGUAUCACUAACUUACACUCUGACCCGAGUAGCAUGGGGCACGUGGAAUCCCAUGUGAAUCAGUAAGGACCACCUUCAAGGCUAAAUACUCCUGGGUUACCGAUAGCGAAGUAGUACCGUAAGGGAAAGGUGAAAAGAACCCCCAUCGGGGAGUGAAAUAGAACAUGAAACCAUAAGCUCCCAAGUAGUGGGAGGAGCCAAGGCUCUGACCGUAUUACUAUUGAAGAAUGAGCCGGCGACUCAUAGGCAGUGGCUUAGUUAAGGGAACCCACCGGAGCCGUAGCAAAAGCGAUUCUUCAUAGGGCAAUUGUCACUGCUUAUGGACCCAAACCUAGGUGAUCUAUCCAUGACCAGGAUGAAGCUUGGGUAAAACUAAGUGGAGGUCCGAACUGACUGAUGUUGAAGAAUCAACGAAUGAGUUGUGGUUAGGGGUGAAAUAUCACUCGAACCCAGAGCUAGCUGGUUCUCCUCGAAGUGCGUUGAGGUGCAACAGUUGAUUGGACAUUUAGGGGUAAAGCACUAUUUUGGUGUGGUCAGUGAGAGCGGUACCAAAUCGAGGCAAACUCUAAAUACUAGGUAUGGCAUUAAAAUUAAAAAAGAAGGGUCAAAGUUGGCUAGUGAGACGAUGGGGGAUAAAGUUCAUCAUUGAGAGAGAAAUAGCCCAGAUCACCAGCUAAGGCCCCUAAAUGGCCACUCAGUGAUAAAAGAGGUAGGGGUGCGGAGACAGCCAAGAGGUUUACCUAAAAGCAGCCAUACUGGUCGAGCGCUCUUGCACUGAAGAUGAAUAAGGCUAAGCGAUCUGCCGAAGCUGUGAGGUGUAAAAAUACAUCGGUAGGGGAGUGUUCCACCUUAGAGAGAAGCCUCCGCAUGAGGGGUGGUGGACAAAACAGAAGUGAGAAUGUUGGCUUGAGUAAUACAAACAUUAGUGAGAAUCCAAUGCCCUAAAAACCUAAGGGUUUCUCUGCAAAGUUCAUCCUCGGAGGGUGAGUCAGGGCCUAAGAUCAGACCAAAAGGCGUAGUUGAUGGACAACAGGUGAAUAUUCCUGUACUACCCCUUGUUGAUCCUGAGGGACGGAGGAGGCUAGGUUAGCUGAAAGAUGGUUAUCGGUUCAAGAACGUAAGGUGUCCCUGCUCUUUUUUAGGGUAAGAAGGGGUAGAGAAAAUGCCUCGAGCCAAUGUUCGAAUACCAGGCGCUACGGAACUAAAGUAACCCAUGCGAUACUCCCAGGAAAAUCUUGAACGACUUUGGCAAGAGGGUACCUGUACCCGAAAUCGACACAGGUGGGUAGGUAGAGAAUACUUAGGGGCGUAAGACAACUCUCUCUAAGGAACUCGGCAAAAUAGACCCAUAACUUUGGGAGAAGGGGUGCCUCUUCAAAUCACAAAGAGGGUCGUAGUGACCAGGCCUGGGCGACUGUUUACCAAAAACACAGGUCUUCGCAAAGUCGUAAGACCAUGUAUGGGGGCUGACGCCUGCCCAGUGCCGGAAGAUCAAGAAAGUUGGUAACCUGAUUACAGGGAAGCCGGCAACCAAAGCCCCGAUGAAUGGCGGCCAUAACUAUAAUGGUCCUAAGGUAGCAAAAUUCCUUGUCGGGUAAGUUCUAACCCGUAGUAAAGGCAUAACGAUCUGGGUACUAUCUCGGAGAGAGGCUCGGUGAAAUAGACAUGUCUGUGAAGAUACGGACUACCUGCACCUCGACAGAAAGAACCUAUGAAUCUUCACUAUUCCCUGGGAUUAGCUUUGGGCCUUUCCUGUGCAGCUUAGGUGGAAGGCGAAGAAUACCUUCUUCCGGGGGGCCCAAGCCAUCAGUGAUAUACCACUCUGGAAGGGAUAGAAUUCUAACCUUGUGUCAGGACCUACGGGCCAAGGGACGGUCUAAGGUAGACAGUUUCUAUGGGGCAUAGGCCUUACAAAAGGUAACGGAGGUAUGCAAAGGUUUCCUCGGGCUGGACGGAGAUUGGCCCUCAAGUGCAAAGGCAAAAGGGAGCUUGACUGCAAGACCCACCUACCGAGCAGGGCCGAAAGUCGGCCUUAGUAAUCUGACUGUGCCGAGUGGAAGGGCCGUCGCUCAAUGGAUAAAAGUUACUCUAGGGAUAACAGGCUGAUCUUCCCCAAGAGCUCACAUUGACGGUAAGGUUUGGCACCUCGAUGUCGGCUUUUCACCACCUGGGGCUGUAGUAUGUUCCAAGGGUUGGGUUGUUUGCCUAUUAAAGCAGUACAUGAGCUGGGUUCAGAACAUCGUGAGACAUUUCGGUCCAUAUCCAGUGUAGGCGUUAGAGAAUUGAGAGGACCUUUUCCUAGUAUGAGAGGACCAGGAAGGAUGCACCUCUGGUGUACCAGUUAUCGUGCCCACGAUAAACGCUGGGUAGCAAAGUACGGAGCGGAUAACUUUUGAAAGUAUCUAAGUAGUAAGCCCACCCCAAGAUGAGUGCUCUCCUAUUCCGACUUCCCCAGAGAUUCCGAUAGCACAGCCGAGACAGCGACGGGUUCUCUGCCCCUGCGGGGAUGGAGCGACAGAAGUUUUUUUGAGAAUUCAAGAAAAGGUCACGGCGAGACGAGUCAUUUAUCAUUACGCUAGGUGUCAAGUGGAAGUGCAGUGAUGUAUGCAGCUGAGGCAUCCUAACAUACCAAUAGACUUGAAC
rnacentral:rRNA from 1 species